GACGAACGCUGGCGGCGUGCCUAAUACAUGCAAGUCGAACGAACUCUGGUAUUGAUUGGUGCUUGCAUCAUGAUUUACAUUUGAGUGAGUGGCGAACUGGUGAGUAACACGUGGGAAACCUGCCCAGAAGCGGGGGAUAACACCUGGAAACAGAUGCUAAUACCGCAUAACAACUUGGACCGCAUGGUCCGAGUUUGAAAGAUGGCUUCGGGCUAUCU
rnacentral:rRNA from 1 species